CAGCUGCCGCGGUAAUACGAAGGGUGCAAGCGUUAAUCGGAAUUACUGGGCGUAAAGCGUGCGUAGGCGGUUUGUUAAGUCUGCUGUGAAAUCCCCGGGCUCAACCUGGGAAUGGCAGUGGAUACUGGCAAGCUAGAGUGUGUCAGAGGAUGGUGGAAUUCCCGGUGUAGCGGUGAAAUGCGUAGAGAUCGGGAGGAACAUCAGUGGCGAAGGCGGCCAUCUGGGACAACACUGACGCUGAGGCACGAAAGCGUGGGGAGCAAACAGGAUUAGAUACCCCGGUAGUCCCUGUCUCUUAUAC
rnacentral:rRNA from 1 species